rnacentral:rRNA from 1 species
AAUCCCNGAAAACCGAAUCGUAGUCCGGAUUGCAGUCUGCAACUCGACUGCAUGAAGUCGGAAUCGCUAGUAAUCGCGGAUCAGCAUGCCGCGGUGAAUACGUUCCCGGGUCUUGUACACACCGCCCGUCAAACAAUGGGAGUGGUGUUUACCAGAAGUCGUUAGCCUAACCGCAAGGAGGGCGGCGACCACGGUGAGCACCGUGACUAAUGUUAAGUCGUAACAAGGUAUC